rnacentral:rRNA from 1 species
GACGAACGCUGGCGGCGUGCUUAACACAUGCAAGUCGAACGGAAAGGCCCUGCUUUUGUGGGGUGCUCGAGUGGCGAACGGGUGAGUAACACGUGAGUAACCUGCCCUUGACUUUGGGAUAACUUCAGGAAACUGGGGCUAAUACCGGAUAGGAGCUCCUGCUGCAUGGUGGGGGUUGGAAAGUUUCGGCGGUUGGGGAUGGACUCGCGGGUUAUCAGGUGGUUGGUUGGGUAGUGGGUUACCAAGGCUGUGAAGGGUAGCCGGCUGGUGAGGGUGAAGGGCCAGAUGGGAAGGGAGUGAGGCCCCGCCCUCCCUCGGACGGCAAGAGGGGGGAGGAUAUAACAAGGGGCGGAAGCAUGCUUCAUCAACGCCGGUCGCGGGAGGAAGGACUUCGGUUGGUAAACCACUUUCUCUUGUGCGGAAUGGUAAUGACCGUAACGGGAGAAUGAGCCCCGGCUAACUUCGUG